rnacentral:rRNA from 1 species
UACGGGGGGAGCAAGCGUUGUUCGGAUUUACUGGGCGUAAAGGGCGCGUAGGCGGCCACCGCAAGUCGACUGUGAAAUCUCCGGGCUUAACCCGGAAAGGUCAGCCGAUACUGCGGGGCUAGAGUGCAGAAGGGGCAGCUGGAAUUCUCGGUGUAGCGGUGAAAUGCGUAGAUAUCUGGAGGAACACCGGUGGCGAAAGCGGCUCUCUGGAACGGUACUGACGCUGAGACGCGAAAGCUAGGGGAGCAAACGGG